rnacentral:misc_RNA from 1 species
UUUCCGUAGGUGAACCUGCGGAAGGAUCAUUACUGAGUGAGGGCCCCUCGGGGUCCAACCUCCCACCCGUGUUUAACGAACCUUGUCGCUUCGGCGGGCCCGCCUCACGGCCGCCGGGGGGCAUCUGCCCCCGGGCCCGCGCCCGCCGAAGCUACCUGUGAACGCUGUCUGAAGUAUGCAGUCUGAGACAAUUAUUAAAUUAAUUAAAACUUUCAACAACGGAUCUCUUGGUUCCG